rnacentral:tRNA from 1 species
GUUCGUUGGAAGCAGACGGCUGCAAUCGCACUGCAGAGGUCAGGGGUUCGAUUCCCCUCGGCUCCACCA